rnacentral:rRNA from 1 species
GACCAGACUCCUACGGGAGGCAGCAGUGGGGAAUAUUGCACAAUGGGGGAAACCCUGAUGCAGCGACGCCGCGUGAGCGAUGAAGUAUUUCGGUAUGUAAAGCUCUAUCAGCAGGGAAGAAAAUGACGGUACCUGACUAAGAAGCCCCGGCUAACUACGUGCCAGCAGCCGCGGUAAUACGUAGGGGGCAAGCGUUAUCCGGAUUUACUGGGUGUAAAGGGAGCGUAGACGGCUGUGCAAGCCAGAUGUGAAAGCCCGGGGCUCAACCCCGGGACUGCAUUUGGAACUGUGUGGCUGGAGUGUCGGAGAGGCAGGCGGAAUUCCUAGUGUAGCGGUGAAAUGCGUAGAUAUUAGGAGGAACACCAGUGGCGAAGGCGGCCUGCUGGACGAUGACUGACGUUGAGGCUCGAAAGCGUGGGGAGCAAACAGGAUUAGAUACCCGGGUA